rnacentral:rRNA from 1 species
GCUAGUUGGUGAGGUAACGGCUCACCAAGGCCACGAUGCAUAGCCGACCUGAGAGGGUGAUCGGCCACAUUGGGACUGAGACACGGCCCAAACUCCUACGGGAGGCAGCAGUAGGGAAUCUUCGGCAAUGGACGAAAGUCUGACCGAGCAACGCCGCGUGAGUGAAGAAGGUUUUCGGAUCGUAAAACUCUGUUGUUAGAGAAGAACAAGGAUGAGAGUAACUGUUCAUCCCUUGACGGUAUCUAACCAGAAAGCCACGGCUAACUACGUGCCAGCAGCCGCGGUAAUACGUAGGUGGCAAGCGUUGUCCGGAUUUAUUGGGCGUAAAGCGAGCGCAGGCGGUUUCUUAAGUCUGAUGUGAAAGCCCCCGGCUCAACCGGGGAGGGUCAUUGGAAACUGGGAGACUUGAGUGCAGAAGAGGAGAGUGGAAUUCCAUGUGUAGCGGUGAAAUGCGUAGAUAUAUGGAGGAACACCAGUGGCGAAGGCGGCUCUCUGGUCUGUAACUGACGCUGAGGCUCGAAAGCGUGGGGAGCAAACAGGAUUAGAUACCCUGGUAGUCCACGCCGUAAACGAUGAGUGCUAAGUGUUGGAGGGUUUCCGCCCUUCAGUGCUGCAGCUAACGCAUUAAGCACUCCGCCUGGGGAGUACGACCGCAAGGUUGAAACUCAAAGGAAUUGACGGGGGCCCGCACAAGCGGUGGAGCAUGUGGUUUAAUUCGAAGCAACGCGAAGAACCUUACCAGGUCUUGACAUCCUUUGACCACUCUAGAGAUAGAGCUUCCCCUUCGGGGGCAAAGUGACAGGUGGUGCAUGGUUGUCGUCAGCUCGUGUCGUGAGAUGUUGGGUUAAGUCCCGCAACGAGCGCAACCCUUAUUGUUAGUUGCCAUCAUUCAGUUGGGCACUCUAGCAAGACUGCCGGUGACAAACCGGAGGAAGGUGGGGAUGACGUCAAAUCAUCAUGCCCCUUAUGACCUGGGCUACACACGUGCUACAAUGGGAAGUACAACGAGUUGCGAAGUCGCGAGGCUAAGCUAAUCUCUUAAAGCUUCUCUCAGUUCGGAUUGCAGGCUGCAACUCGCCUGCAUGAAGCCGGAAUCGCUAGUAAUCGCGGAUCAGCACGCCGCGGUGAAUACGUUCCCGGGCCUUGUACACACCGCCCGUCACACCACGAGAGUUUGUAACACCCG